CGUUGGUGUGCGGGACGCUGCGGUCCGUACCCGGCCCGGGGCCCGCGCCCGCGCCCGGGUGGAAGCGGGCCUUGGCGUAGUUGCUCACGAACUGGUCCUGCAGGAAAGAGCCGGCCAUGGCGUAGCGGGCCCCGGGCACGAUCUGCGAGCGCGGCGAGUCGUUGGGCGAGGGGGUCAGGCGGUCCAUGUCACAGCCGGUGUAGAUCCUGCGGGAUUGUUUCAGAAACCCCUAGGAAAAAGCCGCGCACGCAGUAAUCAUGAAAGACUGGCCUUCACCCGUGUUCUGGAACCCGAGGUUUGCUGCUGGAAGCCUCCAAGAUGAGAUGCCUGAAGCUAUCGCAAUCACAAUGAAUCAUGAGGUGACCUAAAGGAAGAAAGCCAACACAAGCAAAGCAGAGCAGAGAGAUAGAAGGAACCUGGGUCUCUAAUGUCUUUGAAGUUUUAUAUUGGACUUGAAA
rnacentral:lncRNA from 1 species